rnacentral:rRNA from 1 species
AUUGAACGCUGGCGGCAGGCCUAACACAUGCAAGUCGAACGAGUGGCGGACGGGUGAGUAAUGUCUGGGAAACUGCCUGAUGGAGGGGGAUAACUACUGGAAACGGUAGCUAAUACCGCAUACCCUCGGAUGUGCACAGAUGGGAUUAGCUAGUAGGUGGGGUAACGGCUCACCUAGGCGACGAUCCCUAGCUGGUCUGAGAGGAUGACCAGCCACACUGGAACUGAGACAAGGUCCAGACUCCUACGGGAGGCAGCAGUGGGGAAUAUUGCACAAGGGGCGCAAGCCUGAUGCAGCCCUGCGGCGUGGAUGAAGAAGGCCUUCGGGUUGUAAAGUACGUUCAGCGGGGAGGCGUUACCCGCAGAAGAAGCACCGGCUAACUCCGUGCCAGCAGCCGCGGUAAUUC